CAGAUGAUUAAACAAGAAUACUUUACCUCCUGUUAACUGACCACAACAGGCCAGUGAUUAACAAUUCACCUGUGGCAGUACAAAAUAAAAAUUAAGAAAAGUUUCCCCUCUGUUCCCAGAGGAAUUUUAGCUGACAUGCUGUACUAACAAGAAGCUGAAUAUGAGGUUGGUUCUGUCAGCAGCUGUUAGAAUCAAAAUUAUAACUUGAAAUGCAGCAAAGCAGCAUAUCCUUCGGAGAAUUAUAUCUCUAGAGCAAAUGCUUCUCCACUGAAAUACUGCCCACUAUUAAGAGUGAGAGAAGUGCAACUCAUUUGGCAUAGAAUGAACUCAAACUUAACUUCCAGGAUAUGGCUUGAUAAAGGAUUUUUAAAAAAUAAAUUAAAAAAAAAUAAUAAUAAUAGAGACCAUGUCCACUCAACUACAUCUGCGCCUUGGGAGAUCACCUGCAACUUAACAUUAUUUAUCUUCCAUCUUGUAUAUAUAUUGGAAAUUAUUAGAAGACACAGCUUUUUGAUGGAUGGAUAUACCAGAAACAGUUUGCUUCCCUCAACUCCUCUCCUUCCUCUCAAGCACUCUCCCUUCCAAAAAAAAAAAAAAAAAAAAAAAAAAAAAAAAAAAAAAAAAAAAAAAAGGACAAGAGAGAGAACACAGCUCUGACAUCUCAGAAUACUGAUUAUAAUGAGGUAAGUCUUUAAGUUUUUUUCUCCCCUUAUCUCUGUGAACUACACACUAAAGAUAAUUUUGAUAAAAAUAUAAGUACCUGAAAUAAGAAUUGCUUUGAAUAAUACUUCUUUUUCUGGAGGAAAAAAAAAUCACUGAAAAUUUUGAAAUCUAAGUACACUGAAUUACUCGUAAAUCAAUAUGAGAACAGUGAUAUGAACCAAAGUGUUCUUAAUACAGGUGUCUGCCAGCCAGUGAAUCCCUGUCUGAUUGUCGAAGCAUCUCCCAAGAGAGCAGCAACUCAGAAUUGGAAGGACCCUCACCUAGUGGGACUUCAGUGACUCAUUGAAGCAUCCAUUCAUUUCAUACAUGCAAUUGUUUGAAAGCAUAAUAUUCAUGCUAGGCUUUUCUGGAUAUAUAUAUAUAUAUUGCAUAUGUGUAUGUAUAAUUAAUGUUCAAGCAUCUGAUUUAAGUAUGACUAACUACUAUAAUCUUCCUAAUUAACAUUUGUUCAAAUGUUUAAAUAGUGAAGAUGUUUAGUCUAAGAAAUUCAUCCUUCAUAUUAAGGAUUCUA